rnacentral:lncRNA from 1 species
GUGAGGAAGCUGAGAGUGAGGAGGAAGCUGAGGGUGAGGCAGGAGCUGGAGAGGAAGCAGGAGCGUCAGAUGAAGAGGGAGCUGCCGGGGACACAGGAGUUGCAGGCGUGGCAGGAUCUGUGAGCAUGGCAGGAGCUGCAGCUGAGGCAGAGGCUCCAGGUGAGGAAGGAGCUGCAGGUGUGGCAAGAGCCAUCAACGAGGCAGCAGCCCGGAGCCAGCACUGGGCGGCAGACCUUGCAGCCUCUGCUCGAUGCUAUGGCCUACCGGGUACUGAGAAGGUUUUCUGGGGUGGAAGAGCCGGGCUGUGGAGAAGAGUCUUUUGAGAGCUGGCUGCACCAUGCCAACGACACGCUGUACCUGUGGUGCCUCAUGUCAGAGAGGGAGAGGAGGAGGAGACUGGUGGAGAGCUUGGGUGGCCCCGCGCUGGAUCUCAUGUGCGGCCUCC